rnacentral:rRNA from 1 species
UCCAGACUCCUACGGGAGGCAGCAGUGGGGAAUAUUGGGCAAUGGAGGAAACUCUUACCCAGCAAUGCCGCGUGAAUGAAGAAGGUCUUCGGAUUGUAAAGUUCUUUAAUUGGGGACGAAAAAAAUGACGGUACCCAAGGAAUAAGCCCCGGCUAACUACGUGCCAGCAGCCGCGGUAAUACGUAGGGGGCAAGCGUUAUCCGGAUUUACUGGGUGUAAAGGGAGCGUAGACGGCGGUGCAAGCCAGAUGUGAAAGCCCGGGGCUCAACCCCGGGACUGCAUUUGGAACUGUGCUGCUAGAGUGUCGGAGAGGCAGGCGGAAUUCCUAGUGUAGCGGUGAAAUGCGUAGAUAUUAGGAGGAACACCAGUGGCGAAGGCGGCCUGCUGGACGAUGACUGACGUUGAGGCUCGAAAGCGUGGGGAGCAAACAGGAUUAGAUACCCGGGUAA